rnacentral:rRNA from 1 species
GACGAACGCUGGCGGCGUGCUUAACACAUGCAAGUCGAACGGAAAGGCCCUGCUUGCAGGGUACUCGAGUGGCGAACGGGUGAGUAACACGUGGGUGAUCUGCCCUGCACUUCGGGAUAAGCCUGGGAAACUGGGUCUAAUACCGGAUAGGAGCCAUCCUUAGUGUGAUGGUUGGAAAGUUUUUUCGGUGUAGGAUGAGCUCGCGGCCUAUCAGCUUGUUGGUGGGGUAAUGGCCUACCAAGGCGGCGACGGGUAGCCGGCCUGAGAGGGUGGACGGCCACAAUGGGACUGGGGUACGGCCCAGGCUCCUACGGGGGGCAGCAGGGGGGAAUAUUGCACAAUGGGCGCGAGCCUGAUGCAGCGACGCCGCGUGGGGGAUGACGGCCUUCGGGUUGUAAACUCCUUUCGCUAGGGACGAAGCUUUUUGUGACGGUACCUAGAUAAGAAGCACCGGCUAACUACGUG